ensembl:miRNA
UGACAGAAGAGUUCAAAAGGGAAGCAGUGGCUGAGAAAAUAGUCUAAAAACUUUUCCCUUUUUUUGCUUUUUGCA